rnacentral:rRNA from 1 species
AACGCGAAGAACCUUACCUGGGCUCGAAGCGCAGUGGACCGGGGUAGAAAUACCCCUUCCCCUUAAAAGGCUGCUGCGGAGGUGCUGCAUGGCUGUCGUCAGCUCGUGUCGUGAGAUGUUGGGUUAAGUCCCGCAACGAGCGCAACCCUUGUCCUGUGUUACCAUGCCGAAAGGCGGCACUCGCAGGAGACCGCCAGCGAUAAGCUGGAGGAAGGUGGGGAUGACGUCAAGUCCUCAUGGCCUUUAUGUCCAGGGCUACACACGUGCUACAAUGGGCGGUACAAAGCGCUGCUAAGCCGCAAGGCGGAGCCAAUCGACAAAAAGCCGCUCUCAGUUCGGAUUGCAGGCUGCAACUCGCCUGCAUGAAGCUGGAAUCGCUAGUAAUGCUAUAUCAGAACGAUAGCGUGAAUACGUUCCCGGGCCUUGUACACACCGGUACUA